rnacentral:rRNA from 1 species
AUUGAACGCUGGCGGCAUGCCUUACACAUGCAAGUCGAACGGCAGCACGGGAGCAAUCCUGGUGGCGAGUGGCGAACGGGUGAGUAAUAUAUCGGAACGUGCCCAGUAGUGGGGGAUAGCCCGGCGAAAGCCGGAUUAAUACCGCAUGAGACCUGAGGGUGAAAGCGGGGGAUCGCAAGACCUCGCGCUAUUGGAGCGGCCGAUAUCAGAUUAGCUAGUUGGUGGGGUAAAGGCCUACCAAGGCAACGAUCUGUAGUUGGUCUGAGAGGACGACCAGCCACACUGGGACUGAGACACGGCCCAGACUCCUACGGGAGGCAGCAGUGGGGAAUUUUGGACAAUGGGCGCAAGCCUGAUCCAGCAAUGCCGCGUGCAGGAAGAAGGCCUUCGGGUUGUAAACUGCUUUUGUCAGGGAAGAAAUCCCUUGGGAUAAUACCUCGGGGGGAUGACGGUACCUGAAGAAUAAGCACCGGCUAACUACGUGCCAGCCGCCGCCGUAAGAC